UGCCGUGGAUGGGACAGUUAAAUUGAACUUUUAAUGCUUUCAUAGUAGAAUGAUGAAAGUAGAGAUAGUUGUAACUGUGUAAGUUAAUCUCAUGGUACCGGUACCCUAAGUGCGUUGUCAGGUCACGGUUCAUAAGGGUGAUACGGUACCAUACCGGUAAAAGUUAUAUUUAUCCCUGGCACCGGUAACGACAGCGAGAUGAGGUACCGUACUUGGUCUUUUGGCAUUUUUUUGUUAAACUUUCUUAGGUUGCCAUCUUUCAUUUACCAGUAUUCGUUAUCGAGUACCGGUACCGUACAGUACCUAUGGUAGAUACCGGUAAAAGUUACAUAUUUAUCCCUGGACACUGUAGGUACCGGUAGCGACAGAACGAGAUGAGGUACCGGUACGUUACCGUACUUGGUCUUUUGGCAUUUUAUGUUAAACUUUCUGAGGUUGCCAUCUCUCAUUUACCAGUAUUCGUUAUAGAGUACCGGUAUUCAGGUAUUGGUCCUUCAUCCCUGGCUAUGAUUUUUUAUAUUUACUUUAUUUGUCUAAGUGCAAACAUUUCCGCAGCCCAAAUCGCAAAUCCAACCCGUUGAACGACUUAAUCCAGUAAUCUGAAUAGUUGUACAUUUGAGAACCUUCUGUCUGAUGAAUUUCAACAAAUCUAAAUACAGAUCUCAAUUGGCUGAAAUCUAAAAUAUGUUUUAACAAUUGCCACAAUCAAACUGAAACUAAAAUUUGAUGUUUUUAGGUAAAAAAUAGCUCAAGGAUUAUUGUUUUCCAUUUUUGUUUUUGUAACACUUUAAAUAAAAUUUUGUUUUUAAAGUAUAACUUUUUAUGCCACACAUGUGAGAUGCGACAUGGCCCACCAGUCUAGGUGUGCAAAAUUUUUGCACGUGGUCCGAGAACUUUGCCCAACCCUGCUCUAGUUCAUAUUUUCAGCUUUGUUGAGAAAUAAAUUACCGGUACUGAUUUCUGAAUAAUAUUUUGUUUUAAAUUUCAAUAGAAUUAUAUUGGUUAUAUAUUAAUAUGAUUUAUUUUCAGUAUGUAUGCUAUGUAAGCUUACCCAGCCAACCUUAAUUAAGUGUUAUUAUGUUUUAAAGUGAAUUGGAAAGUAGACCGCUAGCAAAAAAGAUUUGGGCGACUGGGCGAAGCCCAUCUCUGUACAAUGACUGCCAAAAGUGCAUGCAACUGUGCAAUGCCCAGCGACUCUAAAAGCAUGAAGUAUUGUACGACACAUCUUUUACAAAUAUUUGGACAUAUUUUGUGUAAUAUUCAUUUUUUUCCGGUUAUUCUUAAUAAUUAUUACCAAUUAGAUAUUCUGUCAAGUGUCAAUAUUACCAUUGUAAGUUUAAUGAUAUAUACCAUUUUUAUAAUAGACCCUAUGACAAUGGACUGGAAAAUUCACCUGCUCCAAUUCCCUCUUUCACGCAAUCAUACACUGUGUCUUUUCAAGCAUCUCAAUGUUUCAAUGCGAAUAAGUCGCUUUUCUAGACCCAAAUUUUUGGCCUGAUCUUAGGGGGGUCGUCUUAUUAGGCGAGUAUGAUCAUUUUUAUUUUUGUGUCGCCUUAUUAUUGAAUCGAGACAAUAAAAUACUUUCGGCAAUAGCAUACCCCACGUCCUCAUCAGGUUAGUUUAAAUAAAUCGACAUUCUCGCGCUGUGAAUCUGGAAUUUCAAUGUUGUGAUUAUCAUAUUUGCAUUAUUAUAUAUGGAUUGAAUAUUACGCUACAAGAAAAAGUCAUUUAGAGGCUAUUUCAACCAAUGCGCAAACGCGGCGACGGCUCGAAAGGCAUUGCAUGGUAAUUCAAGAUUCCCAAAGUUGAUGCGAUUUUACUACCCCGACUUAUCGGCCGGUUAUAUGCAAAAACCCAUUUUUUCAGGCUUAAAAACAGGCCUCGUCUUAUUCGCUUGAAAAUACGGUAAUUAAUAUUAAUGAAAAAUUUAUAUUCUGGUAAGUAGUAUAGGCCAUUCGUUCACGUUUAUCAUCUGAAAGACAAUUAUGUACUAUACAUUGGGUAACACUAACUUGAUUUUCAGAGAUCAAGCCAUGCUCCAAUCCAGUCCAUGGAAAAAUUGUUGGGACAGGCGGUAGAAACUCUUAUGCUACAAGCUACAACUUUCCACUGAUUAUAGUGUGGACUCGGACAUACCGGAAUUGAUGAAAUUCAUUGUCAAUUCAUUGUCUGAUUACAUUUUGAUCCAGAAUACAUUCAAGGAUGAAAAAAUGGCUUAUAAGAUAUUUGUCAAGUCUCGGAGGUUGCUCCAAGAAAGACUGGUUUGGAGAAUCAUGAGCUCUGUUAUAACAAAUUUACUCGCCCGCUCUUUCAACUGUGCAGGACGCGGUGGAUAAGAAGGAGUGAGUGGGACGCCCUUAGUACCUGAAAGCUCUGGAUGAUCUGUCAACGAACUCCGAUUAAUUUUAUUACAUGUAUACAUAUUUGUAAAAUAAAGACAUUUUGUUAUCUUUUGUUUUUUAUUAUAUAAAUAAUGUUAGAUUAGUGGGAAAUUUCUAUGUAGUAUAGAUCAGUACGAUUGGUCUGUACAACACAUCGCCUAACUUGGCCCGACCAUAUGCCACGAUUGUAUUACAACGUGUCACCUACCUAGGCCCGGCCAUAUUUCACGAUUGUGUUACAACGUAUCGCCUACGUUGGCCCGACCGUUUGCCACGGUUGCAUUACAGCGAAUGGACCGACGUUGG